rnacentral:rRNA from 1 species
AACACAUGCAAGUCGAACGCAUCGCAGAUGAGUGGCAGCACGGGUGAGUAACUGCUGUGGGAACAUACCCUUUCCUGCGGAAUAGCUCCGGGAAACUGGAAUUAAUACCGCAUACGCCCUACGGGGGAAAGAUUUAUCGGGGAAGGAUUGGCCCGCGUUGGAUUAGCUAGUUGGUGGGGUAAAGGCCUACCAAGGCGACGAUCCAUAGCUGGUCUGAGAGGAUGAUCAGCCACAUUGGGACUGAGACACGGCCCAAACUCCUACGGGAGGCAGCAGUGGGGAAUAUUGGACAAUGGGCGCAAGCCUGAUCCAGCCAUGCCGCGUGAGUGAUGAAGGCCUUAGGGUUGUAAAGCUCUUUCACCGAUGAAGAUAAUGACGGUAGUCGGAGAAGAAGCCCCGGCUAACUUCGUGCCAGCAGCCGCGGUAAUACGAAGGGGGCUAGCGUUGUUCGGAAUUACUGGGCGUAAAGCGCACGUAGGCGGAUAUUUAAGUCAGGGGUGAAAUCCCGCAGCUCAACUGCGGAACUGCCUUUGAUACUGGGUAUCUUGAGUAUGGAAGAGGUAAGUGGAAUUCCGAGUGUAGAGGUGAAAUUCGUAGAUAUUCGGAGGAACACCAGUGGCGAAGGCGGCUUACUGGUCCAUUACUGACGCUGAGGUGCGCUAAGUCGUG